CCUACGGGAGGCAGCAGUAAGGAAUAUUGGUCAAUGGGGGCAACCCUGAACCAGCCAUGCCGCGUGCAGGAUGACUGCCCUAUGGGUUGUAAACUGCUUUUGUUAGGGAAUAAACCCCACUACGUGUAGUGGGCUGAAUGUACCUAAAGAAUAAGGAUCGGCUAACUCCGUGCCAGCAGCCGCGGUAAUACGGAGGAUCCGAGCGUUAUCCGGAUUUAUUGGGUUUAAAGGGUGCGUAGGCGGCACUUUAAGUCAGGGGUGAAAGACGGCAGCUCAACUGUCGCAGUGCCCUUGAUACUGAAGUGCUUGAAUGCGGUUGAAGACGGCGGAAUGAGACAAGUAGCGGUGAAAUGCAUAGAUAUGUCUCAGAACACCGAUUGCGAAGGCAGCUGUCUAAGCCGUUAUUGACGCUGAUGCACGAAAGCGUGGGGAUCGAACAGGAUUAGAUACCCUGGUAGUCCACGCCCUAAACGAUGAUGACUCGAUGUUUGCGAUAUACCGUAAGCGUCCAAGCGAAAGCGUUAAGUCAUCCACCUGGGGAGUACGCCCGCAAGGGUGAAACUCAAAUGAAUUGACGGGG
rnacentral:rRNA from 1 species